UGUGCUUUUCUCUCUUGUUCCAUUAUCCUGAACAGAAGGGUAAAAAGCAGUAAGGUAUGUCUUGAGGUAUUAUGAACUUCACAGUCAGCCUUCUACAGAGUAUUUUGUUUACCCUGCUAACUGGGUAAAUCAGAAGACAAGCACUGAGGAUCAUGAACUUGUUCCUGUUAGGCUUUGGAAAAUCAGAGUGAAUACUCUUCACUAAAACAGCAAUCCACAAGCAGCCAAGCUAUUUCUAAUCUGUGACUCAUACAACUAUUUCUUUGGAAGUAGUGUAUUACUUUAGGAGACUGACUUUGUAUUUUUUGAAUUCCAGCUGUACAACUGAUUGCAGAAUCCACUCUGCUAAAGCAGUGGCAAAAUUGUGAUAACUGUUCUGUAUCCUUGGGUUCUCACAGUCCUGCUGGACUGUGUGGCUGUCUGUCAGAACAGGAUUUGUUCUCACUUGCUGAGGAUGUCAGCUGGAGGAGCAGCCGGCAGUGUGUCACUCUGUUGGUGGAAUUGCAGGGAAUGGAGAGGAUGAGAAAAUUUGGCUUUACCUCUGUUCACAAGAAGCCUUGAGCCAGCCUUAACCUAGCCUGGGUGUCUCAGCAUGGUGUCUGUAGGGGUGUUUGGAAGAACAUGGUCAUACUGAUGUUCCAGUAAAAGAAUGAGAAACUUUUCUGUUUUAUUAGUGAUCUGAAUAUGCCUGAAGUGUGUAGAUAUGAAUUUGUAUGUGACAUGCGGUGACAUGAUGUGACAGCAUAUUGAUUGUGGACACUGGUCAUACUUCAUCCCAUGAAGAAAUAACACAAGGCAUCAGCUGAAUAUCUUGAUAAGGAACAAGAUGUAAAGAGAGAAAACAAAGGAAGUGACAACUCAAAUCUGAAACAUCUCUGGCUUGGAGAAAUCAGUCAG